CCACUCGUUUUGUAACAAGUAAAGAAUUUGGUAAUAUAAAGCAUUCUAUCUAUCAACUCUAUGAUAAUGUCAAUUCAAAAGUUCUUUUAAAAAAUAAGAAAGUAGAAAGAAAGCAAACAAUAAUCAUGAUUUUGGUUUGACUCUAAACUAUCAAGUGCAGAUGUUUUGGAUUGUAGGUCUAUUGAUUGGAUUAUUCUCAAGGUCAUAAAUAACAGAUAGGCUAUAAAAACAUAAUUUUAUGUAAGCAAUUCUUCAUAAACAAAAUAUAAAAAAAAAAAAAAAA